CAGCUAUAACAUUUUUGGAAACAAUUUGUUAAAAAGCCUAUAAAUUCAAAGUGUUUUCGAUUUUUUUUUUGUGCUAUGUGGCCUUAUUGCACUGUGAGGCCGCGCGGGUCACUUGCCUUAGUAAAAACAGUCGAAACACUGUCUGUCGGCUCCCUAGAGGCUUCUGAAGUGAUCGAGGGCAUGCGGACACAUGGUGUCCGACACGGCCUCUUGGACCCAAUAUAAUGGCAGUCACAUGGUGUCCGUCGCGGCCCACUGGACUAAACAUGGUUUUUGGUCUGGCGUUCAACGUGUUAAGUAAAUAAUAAUUUCAUGAGGUUUUUUAGUUUAUUUCU